CUCUUUAAUAGAAUCGUAAAGCUACAUCAGUGACUCAAGCAACGCAAAAAGGUCUACAACGCUAAACUGUGCGGUAUUUACUAAGCAUCGCAACUCUUUCAAGACGCAAAAAACACAAGCACGACUCUUCAAGAACACAGUAUCGCGCCCCACCUUAAGCAUGAACAGUACGCAACUGGAUCCCUCCAAAUCUUAGACCUCACAAUCACAAACAAUCUUUCCUGGUGAACGCAUAUUCUUUACAUAGAGAAGACUGCAUCUGAUUGACUGGACCCUCUCUUCAAGGCCAAAAAUUAAUUCGACCCUUAACAAAUACUAGCUUCCUACAAAACUCGAGUGAGACCAACAUGGAUAACAGACGCGCGCGCGCGCACACACACACACACACACACACACACACACAAACGUUAACACAACAAAUGUUCAGAUUGCUGCAAGUAAAGAGUCGAAUUAGAAAAACAAAAUAAUAUGUAACAACUUUUCGUACCAGUCAGGUUGUGGUUUUCACAUCAGUUCCCGAAAGACCACAAGACACUGUGCACAUUGUUGACACUAUGUUCAGCACCAAAUAUUUCAGAUAUUAAAGAAAUUGAUAAUGAUAAGCACACAACUUUCUACACAACAACCAAGAACAGCUACGUUGACAAUGACGAUCAGGAUGUCUUUCCUUUAUCUUUUACUUGUUUUAGUCAUUAGACUGCCGCCACGCUGGGACACCGCCUUGAAGAAUUUCAGUCGAACGAAUCGACUCCAGUACUUAUUCUUUUGAAGCCUAGUACUUAUCUAACGUCCCUUUCGUCGAACACACAUCAAUAUCGGUUGUCAAGAGUUGGUGGGGGGAAAACAAACACACGUGUGUGUGUGUGUGUGUGUGUGUGUGUGUGUGUGUGUGUGUGCGUAUACUACAUGGUUCUUUCAGCUUCCGUCUACCAAAUCCACUCACAAGGCGUUGGUCGACCCGAAGAAAUGGUAAAAGACACUUACCCAAGGUUCCACGCAGUGGGACUGAACCAGGAGUUACGUGGUUGGGAAGCAAACUUCUUAUCACACAGCCCCGCCUCACAAUAAAACAAAAAUCGAGUAAUCGAGUAUAUACAGAACAUGGCUCCUCCAAAAAUUAAUAUAAUUCAAGUAACGAAAAUAACGACGAAGUGAUUGUGAUCCAUGACACUUCACUCCUUCUACGGGACAAUAUCACUGAAAUUUAACAAAAUUAGCCAUUUCUGGUGCAAUAUAAACCAAAGAGAUUUGGUAAGAAGACUAAUUUCAGAGAUUUCAAGAAUGAAUAGUUUAAAUAUGUUUGAUUUAGCAGCGAUGUUGAUAAGUGACAAGAUUUGUGUUUGCCUUGUAAAGUGUCCAUCCAUAGAAUAUACAAAAGCAUCAAGAAGCAGAAAAUCGAGAAAACGUGAAAAUUAUUAUUGAAACUCUUGUUCACUGAUCAUCAUCAUUUAUCUUGAUGAAGUCUGCAGGGGUCUGCAUUAACUUAGACGAAAAUUCUUUGGUAACUUUUUGAAAACUCUUCAGCCCAACGAUAUUAUUUGGCUAAGAGAUAUUUAGUUAGCGAAACGCAUGAUGCGAAGGAUAUUCCAUUAUCGUCAAUAGAACAUCAGACAUAAUCAGGUAGCAAUAUGCCACGAGGUCGACUUUGCCUUUCAUCCUUUCGGGGUCGAUAAAUUAAGUACCAGUUGUGUACUGCUGUCGAUCUAAUCGACUGGUCCCCUCCCCCAAAACUUUCGGGUCUUGUGCCUAGAGUAAAAAAAAAUGCCACCUCCUGAUGUCGCUUGACGUUGUUAAUGAAAUGGACAAGUUACAAUAUGCCUUAACCCUUAACUCCAUCAUUGUAGGAGAAACCAUGGCGUGCUUCAUCGGAUUCUAUCUACUGAAGGAAACUUAUGAAUUGGGGACGCACAGUAGUAUAUUAAGAGUUUAUGGGAAAAUGUUGCUUUACAUAUAUUUAUUGCAAGAAACAGAUUUCUUUCUCAAAUGUUUUACAUAGUUCAACCUACACAAGUUAAUGUGUGAAAAACAAAAUAGGAAAUUUGAAAGAAGUAUCUAUAAAACUAGUUUUAAACAUCGGGAGGUUAUGGCGAUCUAUCGGAGUAAAAUAGUAAUCAAAAAGAGCCAUAGGUAAAAAUGGGUACUGAGAAACGCUGGUUUAUAUCUUCUACAACUUUCUAAAGUCUAGUCCCAAACGACAUACACUCUAUGUGAGUAUCAGAAUCGGAGAACAAACCUCAUGGACACAUACACUUCAAAGGUGGUAUUGUAGAUGUGAAGACAAGUCUUCGUAGAGUAAUUAUCUCAUAUCAUAAAGAUAUUGCCUGACCUGACACUUUGUCAACACACUAAGAACAAAUACGGAUUACAGGAUAUUAUUGAAUGAUAUAUCUUAUUUUGACUUUUUAAUUGGAUUGGUUAUGCUGGAAAUUAUUCUGUCAAACAGCUUCAGUAAAUUCUUCCAGAAAAAGACUACAGCUUGUUAUAACAGCUAGAAGAAAAGCUACAGCAACCAAGGGAACUCUUGUUUACUACAGAAAUAAAGAAAACUUUGAAAGGAUUUGGAAUGUUGAGUGAAACAAUGAAACAUAUCAUCCAAGAAACAUGAUUCUUAUUAAUGGAAGCAAGAGUUCCACAUUCUCUUAUUCUUUUCUUGUUUCACUUAUUAGAGUGCGGCCAUACUGACGCACUACCUUGAAGAAAUAGAUCCCAGUACUUAUUUUUUUCAAACCUCGUACUUUUUCUAUCGUUCUCUUUUUUUUUUUUUUUUUUUUUUUUUUGAACCACUAAGGAUGAAAGGCAAAGUCAACCUCGGCGGAAUUUGAACUCGGAACGUAACGGCAGACGAAAUACCGCUAAGCAUUUCGCCCAGCGUGCUAACGUUUCUGCCAGCUCGCCACAAGGUUUCCUUUGAAGCUCUUGACAUGGCCCUUCAGGAUCUAAGACACAACACCAGGCUCAUGGGAGGUGCCACAGUCUUGCUUGCAGGAGACUUUAGAAAACCCUUCCAGUAGUUCCAAAGGGGACAAGAGCUGAUGAAGUAAAUGCCAGCAUAAAGUCGUCCUACCUAUGGAACAGUGUGCAAAAGCUAAGACUCACGACCAGCAUGAAAGUGUAGCUCAGUGGUGAUGAUACAGACAGAACAUUUUCAAAGCAACUGUUGGACGUCGGUAGUAGUACUUCGGUUGGCGAGAAGGAUGGCCGGGUAAGCUUGCCUUUUGGACAUAUGGUAUCUGGUUUAAAGGAACUAAUGAAUAAGGUGUUUCCUAACCAGAGGAAUCAGUUUACAGAAAACAACUGGCUGAAAACACGUGCCAUUUUUUAGCUCUAAAGAAAGUAGCAGUUGAUGAUUUGAACUUUAAACUCCCACCUCACAACUUGCACCUCAAGAUUGGGGCACCAGUUAUGCUGCUUCGAAACCUCGAUCCACCAAAGCUUUGCAAUCGCACACGUCUUAUAAUAAAGAAGAUGAUGCCAACAGUCUUAGAGACAACAAUUUUGACUGGUAAAGCAAGCGGUGAGCCUGUAUUCAUUCCUAGAAGUCUACUUAUUCCCUCGGAUAUGUCUUUCCAGUACAAGCGCCUGCAAUUCCCGUUGAAACUGAGCUUCGCAAUGAGCUCAGGUGCAGUCCUUGAACGUGGUAGAUCUAAACCUUGCGGAACAAGUUUUCUCCCAUGGCCAACUUUGUGUGGGAUGCUCAAGAGUCGGCAAUCCUAAUCAUUUGUUUAUUUAUGUCCCACAAGGAUAGACCAAAAAUGUUGUUUAUCAAGAAGCACUGCAAACAUAAUAAGAUUCACCAAAUCAUCAGAUUACAGCCAUGCUGCAGCAUCACCUUGAAGGGUUUUAGUCAUACAAAUCGACCCCAGUACUUAUUCUAUUGGUCUCUUUCACCAAACUACUGAGUUGUGGGAACAUAAACAAACCAACAGCGAUUGUCAAGCGGUGAUGAUGGACAGACAUACAUAUAUAUGUAUAUAUAUAUACAAACUUAUUUCAAUUUUUACACACCAAAUCCACUCACAAGGCUUUGGUUGACCUGAGGCUAUAAUUGAAGACACUUGUCCAAGGUUCCACAUGGACUGAACUCAGAAUCAUGAGGUUGGGAAGCAAAUUUCUUACCUCAGUAAACAACUUUGAAUAAAAGUAAUUUUCGUUAGAUUAUCUUCUAGUUGAUUGAUGUUUCCAACACUGGAGAGUUCACAACUUUCUGUAAUUAUGUCGUACAUAAUUCAUGUUUGUCUAGUUACAAAAGUGUUUAAAAAAGGAGAG